ensembl:lincRNA Gm44507 predicted gene 44507
AGUCUAGCACAUGCCUGCUGACCUUCAUGGAGCCUGACCAGUGGGGGAAGUGUGAAGGAGACAGACAGGAUUCAGGCUUCUUGGGGCAGGUGUUUCUUCCAUGAGAGAUACGUGGGGAUGAAUUGCUGGGGAAUCCUUUCCAGUUUCCAGGAUACCUCUUCUUAUAUAUGGGGCUGUGGGCAUCAGAAAAAAACGUACAGGCCCUCUGCAGCCACCCAUGGAAACAGAAGAGAUUGCAUGCAGAGAUAGAGACACCAAGCUUUCGAAUGGACCUGGGAUGCAGCAGACCGGAAACCCAGCCACGGGAGCAGCAGGUACAGAGAUGAGAAGAGCGGGGCCAGGG